CUACGGGUGGCUCCAGUGAGGAAUAUUGCACAAUGGGGGGAACCCUGAUGCAGCAACGCCGCGUGGAGGAUGACGCAUUUCGGUGUGUAAACUCCUUUUAUAUGUCAAGAAAAUGACGGUAGCAUAUGAAUAAGCACCGGCUAACUCCGUGCCAGCAGCCGCGGUAAUACGGAGGGUGCAAGCGUUACCCGGAAUCACUGGGCGUAAAGGACGCGUAGGCGGGGUGGAAAGUCAGGUGUGAAAUCCUACAGCUUAACUGUAGAACUGCACUUGAAACUUCUAAUCUAGAGUAUGGGAGGGGGAGAUGGAAUUAGUUGUGUAGGGGUAAAAUCCGUAGAUAUCACUAGGAAUACCUAAAGCGAAGGCGAUCUCCUGGAACAUUACUGACGCUAAGGCGUGAAAGCGUGGGGAGCAAACAGGAUUAGAUACCCUCGUAGUC
rnacentral:rRNA from 1 species